AAUUUUUCGCAAUGGGGGAAACCCUGACGAAGCAACGCCGCGUGGAGGAUGAAGGCCUUCGGGUUGUAAACUCCUGUCGACCGGGACGAAAGUAGUCCGACCCAAUACGUCGGGCUAUCGACUGUACCGGUGGAGGAAGCCACGGCUAACUCUGUGCCAGCAGCCGCGGUAAUACAGAGGUGGCAAGCGUUGUUCGGAAUUACUGGGCGUAAAGGGCGCGUAGGCGGCCUUCUAAGUCGGACGUGAAAGCCCCAGGCUUAACCUGGGAACUGCGUCCGAUACUGGGAGGCUUGGAUUCGGGAGAGGGAUGUGGAAUUCCAGGUGUAGCGGUGAAAUGCGUAGAUAUCUGGAGGAACACCGGUGGCGAAGGCGGCAUCCUGGACCGAGAUCGACGCUGAGGCGCGAAAGCUAGGGGAGCAAAC
rnacentral:rRNA from 1 species